CCUACGGGCGGCUGCAGUGGGGAAUAUUGCACAAUGGGCGAAAGCCUGAUGCAGCAACGCCGCGUGGAGGAUGAAUGCCUUCGGGUUGUAAACUCUUGUCUUCUGGGACGAUAAUGACGGUACCAGAGGAGGAAGCCACGGCUAACUACGUGCCAGCAGCCGCGGUAAUACGUAGGUGGCGAGCGUUGUCCGGAUUUACUGGGCGUAAAGGAUGCGUAGGCGGAUAUUUAAGUGGGAUGUGAAAUACCUGGGCUUAACCUGGGUGCUGCAUUCCAAACUGGGUAUCUAGAGUGCGGGAGAGGAAAGUGGAAUUCCUAGUGUAGCGGUGAAAUGCGUAGAGAUUAGGAAGAACACCAGUGGCGAAGGCGACUUUCUGGACCGUAACUGACGCUGAGGCAUGAAAGCGUGGGGAGCAAACAGGAUUAGAUACCCCAGUAGUC
rnacentral:rRNA from 1 species